AGGUGAUAGUUUAAGUUAGAUGGGUCUCUGUCGUCCAGAUGAAGGAGAGCAGCCAUCCAGACUGUUAGGUAGACAGGUGUAGUUAAUAGUUAGAUGUGGUCUGUCUCUGUCCCAGAUGACGGAGAGAGCCCAUCCAACUCGGGUAGACAGGGUAGUGUUAGAUGUGGUCUCUGUCUGUCCAGAUGAAGGAGAGCAGCCAUCCAGACUGUUAGGUAGACAGGUGUUAGAUUAAAGUUAGAUGUGGUCUCUGUCUGUCCAGAUGAAGGAGAGGAGCCAUCCAGACUGUUAGGCAGA
rnacentral:lncRNA from 1 species